rnacentral:rRNA from 1 species
CCUACGGGUGGCAGCAGUGAGGAAUAUUGGUCAAUGGACGAGAGUCUGAACCAGCCAAGUAGCGUGAAGGAUGACUGCCCUAUGGGUUGUAAACCUCUUUUAUAAAGGAAUAAAACGAGGCACGUGUGCCUUUCUGCAUGUACUUUAUGAAUAAGCAUCGGCUAACUCCGUGCCAGCAGCCGCGGUAAUACGGAGGAUCCGAGCGUUAUCCGGAUUUAUUGGGUUUAAAGGGUGCGCAGGCGGGCUUUUAAGUCAGCGGUGAAAGUCUGUGGCUCAACCAUAGAAUUGCCGUUGAAACUGGGAGGCUUGAGUAUGUUUGAGGCAGGCGGAAUGCGUGGUGUAGCGGUGAAAUGCAUAGAUAUCACGCAGAACCCCGAUUGCGAAGGCAGCCUGCCAAGCCAUGACUGACGCUGAUGCACGAAAGCGUGGGGAUCGAACAGGAUUAGAUACCCCUGUAGUC